rnacentral:rRNA from 1 species
CGUGGAGCGAUUUGUCUGGUUUAUUCCGAUAACGAGCGAGACUCCAGCCUGCUAAAUAGCACACUCCUUCUGCUUAGGGGAGUGAGGCUUCUUAGAGGGAUCAUCGGCGUUCAGCCGCACGACACGGAGCAAUAACAGGUCUGUGAUGCCCUUAGAUGUCCGGGGCUGCACGCGCGCUACACUGGCGAAGGCAGCGUGCCUGUCCUACCCCGGCAGGGGUGGGUAAACAAAUGAAAAUUCGCCGUGAUUGGGAUCGGAGAUUGCAAUUAUUCUCCGUGAACGAGGAAUUCCAAGUAAGUGCGAGUCAUCAACUCGCGUUGAAUACGUCCCUGCCCUUUGUAC